UUAUAAUUGUUGUACGACAAUGUGUAUAAAAAAAUUAAAGAUGUUCAUUAAUACGUUUAAUGAAGAAGUGCUAUCAUUGUUAGAAGAAGAGCAUCCAAAAGUGCGAACGAUCAUGGAUCAGAUAUAUUAUAAGGUAAUCACCGUGAUUUAACUUAGAAUAUUAGAACGGAUUUUUAUAAAACGGGCUGUAAAGAUUCGACUCAAAUAGCAGAGCGUCGAUCAAGAGAAUAAUAUGUAAAAAGUAAAAUGAGUAAGGACUUAAAUUACGAUAAUAUCGAUACCACGUAUGAUAAUGAUGCAAGUAACGAAACGGUAAGAUCCAUAGAAACUGGGGAUUUGUACUGUGAUGAGUUUUUGUUGACAUUAUUGCCUUAUGAUUUAGCCACAGUAAAAAAGCAGGAUGAAAUCUUGCGAUGCAUCACGUUCAAAAAGAGUAUGAGAAUGUAUGGCCACGUGAGAAGUUAUGGAUACGGAUGAAGUUAACCUGUAGUCUAAGAACGUUUAUUUAUCAACGUAAAACGCUGAGGACUCUGAAGAACAUAUAGCGCAAAAAAGUAGAGCGAAAUUCUGACAAACUCAAGAGCAUGGAUUGUCUUAGAUUUACUCUAUCUGAUGAUUAUACGUUUAGUAUCCCUGUGGAUAGCGAGGGUUCGACACUCUGGUUGUAAAAAAGAAGUAAAAUAAGCGAGGCUAGUAGUGACGUCAUUUCUGACAAUGCAAGUAACAAAAAUAGUUUCAGCGAUACUGUCGAUUGGGACUAUUUAGAAUAUUUUGCGAGGUCAGCACCGUGCAAUUUAGAUAGAUUCAAAAAGAAGGAUACGCGAUGGAACGUGGCGACGUAUCACGUUUGCAGAGAGUAUGGGAUCGUAUCGCGACGCAAGAAGUUGUGAAUGAAGACUUCGAUAACUUGUAGUUUUAGAGCGGAUAUCUAUGAGGGUAGAGCUUAGAGAGCUCUGAAGAAAAUUUGGCACAAAAAAGUCGAGUGGAAUUCCGAUGAAGAUCGAGAAGACCUUGGAUCGUAUUAAAUUUAUUUUUCCUGAAUCUUUACGUUUUACUGCAUAUUGCCUUCCAAUUUGUGAUUGUAAAGACAGUGAACUGAGUAAGAAAACAAAUAUUGAUAAUAGUGAUAUCACUUCUGACGAUACGAAUAGUUCUUCUACUUCUGAUGCAAGUAUUUGUACUUGUUAUAAUACAGUAUGAGGGCUUUAGACUUUACUUAAACUUUAUCCUGUAUUGAAAAAGAGGACACGCGAGACGAUAUAUUCCGCGAUCGUUUGACCAGUACGCGUGAAACAUCUUAGGAAUACCGUGCGACAACGUGUCGUGAGAGUCGACGAGGGUAGUGGAUCGAAAGAAGAAUUGUUCUGAUUCGAGAUCGAGACAGCCUUUAAAAAUUGCGUGUUGACGGGUGUAGUGGCAAAUAGACGAUGUCUCAAUUCGCAACGAUUUCUCACGGCUGCGUGCAAUCUAGUGCUCGCUUAUGUUCGCAAAAAUUUAGAUCGGCACAACUGCGUGAAAGUCAAUACUAUGUUCGACGGAAAAUUCACUAAUAAAGAUACAAAGCACGAAUCUAAAACUAUUAUUACUAAAAACUGUCAACUUUUACUUUUGUCUGAUUUGCGCAAAUGGUACGACUCAAAAGUGUUCGAGCAUGCGGAACUCAAUGACUUCGAGGGAAGCAAAAGUGGAUGGGUGUUGUCAAAAAUAUCAAGUUUAAUGGAUAAUAUAAAUAAAUGCAAUCCUAUGCGCGCGGUUUGUUGGAUAGAUUUAUCGGCAUUUAUAAAGUAUAAGCGAGCAGUAAUUAACAUACAGUCCUUUGAUAACGCUUGUUUUGCGUGGUCGGUAGUUGCCGCUUUGUUUCCUGAUAAUAAGCAUCCUAAGAGUGUCAAACUAUCCACCCUAAUAUGGCCGUGUUGCAAUGGGAGAGUAUGAAUUUGAAACGGAUGGAACGCUCGCAUUUCUACCAUUGCGUCUCACUGAGGACACGAGGCCAAGAAAUCUGUUGUAUGUACAAAGUACUCAAAGUACUCUGGACAUCGGUUAUUUCGUGUGAAUAAAGGAUUUGUCACUAUUGGUCGGAGCGCAAUUGUCGAGAUGUCGCAAAAAAUACAUAUGCGACAGAUGUUUACAUUAUUUUCCGACGGACAAGAGGUUGCAGUUCCACAAUAUCAAGUGCGGUAAAAUGAAUGACUGCACCGUUAUUGUUCCGAAGGACGAUUCCGACAAGUGGCUGUAUUUUCGUAACUUCAAUCAUCAGGAGAGACUUAUGUUUGUCGUAUACGCCGAUUUAGAGUGUAUAUUAGAGAAAAGAAACGAUGAUGACGCGUCGUCGAAAGGCGCGUAUCAACGACACAAACUGUUCAGCAUAUGCAGUGCGCCCUAACGACUUACAAAUCGUUUUGCGGUGAGAAGUGCGUGUCGUGGUUCGUCGUGGACUUGUCCGAUUUGGCGCCUUGCGCGAAACGGAUAUUUCUUGAAAAUGUAGCUAUGCAAUCGUUUACGCCUCAAGAUUUAAUAGAGUUCUUGAGCGCAUUGUCACAUGUGUAAAAGGCGUUUUUAUUACGAGGAGCAACGCGUACGUGAUCAUUGUCAUUUGACCGGACGUUACAGAGGGCCGGUCCAUUCCAAAUGCAAUUACUUUAUAAAAAUUCCUACGUGCUUCCUAUAUUUUUCCACAAUUUGUCGGAAUACGACGCGUAUUAUCAACGACGUGGCAAAUAUGUUCGAGGGUUAGGUUGACCUGUUACCAAUUAC
rnacentral:lncRNA from 13 species